UGCGAGUCAUAUGUUCUUCGUGAACAUGGCGUACUGCUCAGUAACACGUGGAUAACCUGCCCUUGGGACCGGGAUAACCCGGGGAAACUGGGGAUAAUACCGGAUAACGCAUAUCUGCUGGAAUGCUUUAUGCGUAAAAUGGAUUUGUCUGCCCAAGGAUGGGUCUGCGGCCUAUCAGGUAGUAGUGGGUGUAAUGUACCUACUAGCCUACGACGGGUACGGGUUGUGAGAGCAAGAGCCCGGAGAUGGAUUCUGAGACAUGAAUCCAGGCCCUACGGGGCGCAGCAGGCGCGAAAACUUUACAAUGCGGGAAACCGUGAUAAGGGGACACCGAGUGCCAGCAUCAUAUGUUGGCUGUCCAGAUGUGUAAAAUACAUCUGUUAGCAAGGGCCGGGCAAGACCGGUGCCAGCCGCCGCGGUAACACCGGCGGCCCGAGUGGUGAUCGUGAUUAUUGGGUCUAAAGGGUCCGUAGCCGGUUUGGUCAGUCCUCCGGGAAAUCUGACGGCUCAACCGUUAGGCUUUCGGUGGAUACUGCCAGACUUGGAACCGGGAGAGGUAAGAGGUACUACAGGGGUAGGAGUGAAAUCUUGUAAUCCCUGUGAGACCACCUGUGGCGAA
rnacentral:rRNA from 1 species